ensembl:snoRNA
AGCCUCCCAAAGCACUGGGAGUGUGAUGACUAGGUUUUCACAUGUGAGAUAUGCCUCACUCAAACCUUGUUACAACACUGGCACAUUGCCCGUCGGAUG